rnacentral:lncRNA from 1 species
GAGCAUCCAUCUCCAAUCCAUCUAAUUCCUGCGCCAAAAUGUCACAAACCAUGUAAAAUCAUAUAAAAUCAUAGCAAAACACACACUAAAAUAGGUAACUAAAAUACACACAUCAAAUCCCCUCACACUUGAAUCAUACUUGCCCUCAAGUAUGAAGUGAAGAAAAGACUCAAAAGUGGAAAUAGCUAUCUAGACAAGACCUCCCCCCUCGACACGACACUAAAAACUCACAAGAAAAGAAUAAAACAACGGACGCAACAACUAACGGAAAGAAAACAGAAAAGAACAAGGACACUAAACAACGACAAACUCAACUAAAACAACAGCCAAGUAAUCAUCAAA